rnacentral:rRNA from 1 species
UACGUAGGGUGCGAGCGUUAAUCGGAAUUACUGGGCGUAAAGCGUGCGCAGGCGGUGAGUUAAGUCUGAUGUGAAAGCCCCGGGCUCAACCUGGGAAUGGCAUUGGAAACUGGCUCGCUGGAGUGUGGCAGAGGGGGGUGGAAUUCCGCGUGUAGCAGUGAAAUGCGUAGAGAUGCGGAGGAACACCGAUGGCGAAGGCAGCCCCUGGCCAACACUGACGCUCAGGCACGAAAGCGUGGGGGAGCAAACAGG